GACGAACGCUGGCGGCGUGCUUAACACAUGCAAGUCGAACGGAAAGGCCCUGCUUGCAGGGUACUCGAGUGGCGAACGGGUGAGUAACACGUGGGUGAUCUGCCCUGCACUUCGGGAUAAGCCUGGGAAACUGGGUCUAAUACCGGAUAGGAGCCAUUUUUAGUGUGAUGGUUGGAAAGUUUUUUCGGUGUAGGAUGAGCUCGCGGCCUAUCAGCUUGUUGGUGGGGUAAUGGCCUACCAAGGCGGCGACGGGUAGCCGGCCUGAGAGGGUGGACGGCCACCAUGGGGCUUGGGAUCGGCCCAGACCCCCUCCGGGGGCAAGAGGUGGGAAUUAUGCAACAAGGGCGGAAGGCUGAUGGAACCACCGCCGGGUGGGGAAUACCGGCUUCCGGUUUGUAAACCCCUUCCGUAGGGAACGAACCUUUUGUGACGGUACCUAGAUAAGAAGCACCGGCUAACUACGUG
rnacentral:rRNA from 1 species